CUGGCGCGGCUCUCCAUUAGCCAGUGAGGUCCAGGGUCACGCCGAGAGGCCGGAGGGGACUCCAGGAAGCCUCGAGAAGACGGCCCCGGGCCGCGGCCACUUCUCCGCGGGGAAGUGGACACCUACUUUGCGACCCGGCUUGCGCGGAGCCCCCUCCGGGGUCGCGAGCGUGGGGAUUUAUAGAGCCCUGGGGGAAACCCUUGGAAGAAGUGAUAUAUCAGACAGAUAUAUCCAGAAGCUUAAAAGAAAAUAACAGAAUGCGGAAUCUCAACAGUUGUUUUAAUGGUGGCUAGUUCGUCCCGUUCCAGAAGGCACAAUCCUUCGCCAUGGGAUUUUGCUGCUCCCAUCCAGACGUGGAAUCUCUUCUCCACCCCCUGUAAUGCGGGCUGGCUUUUGUGACUGACUUUGACAAAUUUGAUAUAGUGGAACUGAUGUUUUCUAGUUCUGGAAUUGAGGCCUCAAGAAGCUUUGUGGCUGCCACCUUUGUCCUCUUGGAACGCCAUGCCACGCAGAAGCCCGGGAUGAAAGGUCAGGAGGAAGACGGAGGGACGCAGCUGUCUCUGCUGUUCCGAGUCCAGCUCCCCGCACCCCACUGAAUGCCGUCACACACAUGAGCCCAGGCAAAGUUGGCACAAAAAGCACACAGCCAACAGAGUCAUGAAAAAUAAAAAAAAA
rnacentral:lncRNA from 1 species